GCGCUAGCCCUGCGGGAGUGAGAGCGGCGCUGCUCCUCCGGGCCGGCUGCCGGUGGAUCUGCGCGCGCCGAGCCCGCGCCGGGCCGGCCUUCAGCCUGCGCCCUGCUCCCCGCCUGUCUCCGUGGACUCGCUGUGUCCACGAGGGCCCACCUCUAAAGUGUGGUCUCCAGGUGAGAACGUGAGACUGCCUCAGGCCCCGCGCGAACCCUGAGAGCGUCCAUAGUGCAGCCCUCUCGGGGCGGCCGCUUGGGCUGGAUCUGUCUGCGCCACCCCAUUGCCACCCUCACCCUGGUACAAGCCGCUGUUUUCCUGUUCAAUGUCCGAUAAAGUAAGGAAUUUUCUAGGGGGACAUAUUGUCGGAGAAAUACGGUAGAUGGUCUUUCGGCCCAACAAUCUCAGUCACCUUGCAGAAAGUGUGCUGCGCUGCGGCCCAGGCCUUCCGGAAGGUCUGAGCUUUGCUGACCCCCCACUUCAGAGCACCAGCCGUCUGUAUCUGGGGCACGUCCUAAAGACUACACGGUGCUUCCUCGCCUAUAAAGACAGUUCACCCAGUUCUCAUCCAAAGCAGUCCUAACACGCGUUUUGCCGGCUUAGAGGUUGGAAGAGGGACGCUGUGGCUUGUCCGGGGGAGACACGUGAACUGUGGGUGCCAUAACCCGCCGCGCCCUUUUGCCCACAUUCCAACUGGAUCCCCAGCUAAGCAUUUUACAGAUGAAGAAGCCUGCUGAGAGAGGGCACAUGCCUUCCCCAGUCACACCGCUGGAAGAAAGGAAAGGCGUGAGACAGGACCAGAUCUGUCUGCUCCACAGAGCAUCUUACAGACACCGUCGGGCAGGGCACAUGGGCAGACAGCUCCUUCGAAGGUCCUGAUUUCCUUUUCCCCGUGGCCCUGGGAGGUGAGGAGCAUGUUUCCCUGCUUCUUUGGAGGACGCGGCUAGAGUGGGAAUUUGUAGCCAGGGAGUCUGCGCUGGCUUGACCUAGGACCCGGAGACGCUCUUUUCAGGUUAGUGCCAGGGAUGCAGCUCUUGUUGCGACCAGCAACCAAACCAAGACUUGGCCAGAGGACUUGGAGGGGACCUGUGUUGAGGAUGAGGUUGUGAUAAGCUUCCUAGUUUACAGAAGGUCAUGGCCGCUUGCAGCAUCAUGGCAGGUCUGGCUUGUAUGGGUAGAACAGGUGGGUUGUGUUGUCUUUUUAAGAGAGGAAACAGAAGUUGCAAAGUUCAAUUACGUUUUGUCUCUGGGCAGGGCAGUAUCCCGCAUUACCGAAGCACUUCUCCAUCUGUCCUGCCUGCCUCUGGGUCUUCGUUCCUCACAUACUCUCAGGCCAAUGUCUCCUGUUCCCUGGGGGAAAAAUGCAGGAAAACGUCAGAAGCAUCUUAGAAAUUAAAAUACAUCCUUAGUGGCUUCAGCACACAGGAAGAGGGACCAGCUGCCCAGAAACUGAAAAUUAGCAAAGAAGAUCCUGUUAAAACCUGAGUCAGAUCAUGUCUCUCUUGGACCAGAAACUUCCAAUGGCUCCCACUUCAUUCAGACACCAAGCACAGAGUAAGUGCCCAAUCAUUGAAUUAAUGAAUUUCAGAAAGACUUGGAGCAGACAGGGUCAGUUUGAAAGAAAUUAAAAAGGGUUGAGGAACAUACUUCAAACAGGUAAAAAAAAGUUGGCCACUGAAGAAACUAGAAGAGCAAUUUUACGGAAAGAGGCCUGAACAUCUUCCAGAGAGUUUGUGUGACAGUCCUCGUUUCUGCUGUGCUUCCUGCCCGUUUUUCCUUUAUACCCAUUGGCCCGGCUAACACCACCUUUGGAUAAUGGCUUAAGGUGAACUGCAUGGUGACGUAGUACCAUGGCAACCUUACUCCUCAUCCCAGCCUAAGUCAGGCCUGCUUGUCCUUCGCAGCACGCUGUCCGGUAAGUUUGUGUUGAAUGAGUGCAUGAAUUAAUGAAUGAACCAAUGAGGACACUAGCAUCCUAAUUACUGGGUGGGCUGCCUGAGCCACUGGAUAGAGCAUUUACCCCCGACCAGGGGGUGAAAAGUCUGCCAGUGCAGUGGGGAGAUUCUCUUGUUUGGAUUUCUGGCCAGGGAGCAGGGAACCACAGACAACACUCCAACCCUUAAGUUUUAAGGCAACAGGAACACUUAAACCUAUUCUUUUAUCUUCAUAAUGCCCUGAGCAAUUGUUGGUACAUCCCACUUUGUAGAAUAAAGUGUGCGGCUAGGAGAGGCAGCACAUCCCUCGCAGGAAGCACAUGGAGUCCAGAUGCUACGGUGAAGGUGUGGCCCCCACACACUUGCCUCUCAGAACUGCGAAUGGUGUUGGGGCUCAAGUGAUGGGCCUGAGCACCUAGCGGAGCCCACAGCAGGAGCCCAGAACACCCAGCCAGCGCUCCUCUGAAUGCGGUGCUGCACCUUGCAGGGCUCGCCCUCAGGGUACACACAGGCUGUCAAGGAUCCUGCCCUCACUGCUCCCCAUUACCUAGGAGUGCUUAGUUGUGAGGCUCUGAUGUUUCUUGCAGCAUAGACUGCACCCCUGAGCUUGGGGCAUGGAGCUUGGCCGCAUCCUAGCCCCGGGCCCUGGAAUCUCCCGUGUGUGCCUCGUAGACACUGCAAAGUGAAAGGGUCCAACCUGAACCCUUCAAGCUGCCCCUCAGCCCUAGUGUGUGAGCCUGCUGGAGCUGCCAGAACAAACUCCAUGGACAGAUGUGUCUUUCACAGUUCUGGAGGUACAAGGCUGAGAUCAAGGUGCCGCAGGUCAGGUUUUACUUAGGGCCUCUCCUUUUGGUCCAUAGAUGCUGACUUCUCCCAGAAUCCUCAUGGGGAGCCCCUGUGUAUCUGUCUCCUCGUUUCCUCUUCUUACAGUGACACCCAUCAUACUGGAUUAGGAACCACCCCAAGCACUUCACCGUAAAUUACCUCUUUAAAGUCCCUCUCUCCAAAUAAAGCUGCCUUUGGAGGCCCUGGGCAUUAGGACUUCAACCUAUGAAGUUUGGGGGACAUACGUCAAUCUGCAACCCCUGAGCACCUCAGGUCAGCAGCACGCCGGUGCCUGCUCCCCCAGAGCCACGUCCAGUGAUUUCAGCGCAUUGAUCUCGGGGCCUGUCCGCUGGUGGCGGCCCCCGCUGCCCACGCCACCAGCUCUUCCGCAUCCAUCCUCACACAGCAGGGUGUGCAUUGCCCCCCAGAGGGAUCGUUCUGGCCAAGACCCUCCAUGGCUCCCACAACCCAGCUCACCCUGGCGUUCAAACCUCUGCCUGACAUGACCCCUGCUGUGUCCGCUUGCACCCACUUGGCCCAUCCCAAGGAGGACCCUUUGCCUUGGGUUUCCCCGAGCAACAGGACUACCUGGAUUUAAACCCAGAUCCUAGUACUUCUUGUCUGCGCAACACCUAGCGGGUCAUGACCCUUCUGUUCCACCGUCUGUCUGUGAAACUGGGACAACCUGUGUGGUGCCCUGGCCAUGGGGUGUCUGUGAGAAGUGUUGCUGGCUGAGGGCCUCCAGCAGCCACACCUCCAGAUCCAGUGUAGCUUCCCCAAGAGGUUAUGCUUCUCCUGGGUUCCCCAGCUGAGGACCAAGUGUAGCCGAGUCUGCCCAACUGUUGCUGCCCCACACCGGGCUCCUACAUGGGCAGUCUGGGCUCUGGGGCGCUGCACUCAGUGCGUCUUCCCUCCUCUGUGCUGGCUUCAGUGUGGUUUCAGGGAGUGUGGGGAUUUAGCUCAGCGGCACAGCGCCUGCCUGGCAAGCGCGUGGUCAUGAGUUUGAUUCCCGGUACCGGAAAAAAAAAAACAAAAAACAGUGUGGUUGCAGGGAUAAACCUUCAAGGUCCCCAUACACCUCCAAGGAUGGGCAGACAGGGCCAGUACUGUCAGGACAGGGGAGCCACAGGGAGAAGGAAUACAGAUGCACACAGCUUCAGGGUACAGAACCGCCUCAGGAGCGGGCUGUCAGGAGAGGAAAUCAAGAGUCCAACUUGUUUAAGCGAACAAUUUUUUUUUUUUUUUUUUGGUAGUGCUGGGGAUUGAACCCAGGGCUUUAUGCGUGCAAGGCAAGAGCUCUUCCACUGAGCCACAUCCCCACCCCCUUAGCCAACAAUAUUUUGAGUAUUUAUUACAAAAGACAUCCACAGAACAAGAAAGUCUGAAAGCAAGGACCGUGACCAUCCUGUUUGUCACAAUAUCCUCCUGCCAUCUGAAAAUCUGUCAUUAAUGCCCCUGCCUUAUAAUGGUUUGACUUACCUUUUCUUAAAACUUUGCUAUGGUGCAGAAGUGAUAGGCAUUCAACAGAAACGGUACUUUGAAUUUUGGUUUCUUCCCAGGCUAGAACUAUGAGUCAGUUCUCGUGGAACUGGGCAGGAACAGGACAGUCAUCCACGUGAUCACAGUGGUGACAGUGGUUCGCCUCCAGCGCACUGUGUGGCUAAGCUUGGAGGUUCUGAGGGUUAGAUGUAUUAAAUUCAUUUUAAAUUU